UUCAAGGUUUUUUGCACUUAAAACCACGGAAUAGUUAAAAAAAAAAAAUAU
rfam:Tyto alba contig17259, whole genome shotgun sequence.